rnacentral:rRNA from 1 species
CCUACGUGUGGCAGCAGUGAGGAAUAUUGGUCAAUGGACGCAAGUCUGAACCAGCCAUGCCGCGUGCAGGAUGACGGCUCUAUGAGUUGUAAACUGCUUUUGUACGAGGGUAAACGCAGAUACGCGUAUCUGUCUGAAAGUAUCGUACGAAUAAGGAUCGGCUAACUCCGUGCCAGCAGCCGCGGUAAUACGGAGGGUUCAAGCGUUAUCCGGAUUUAUUGGGUUUAAAGGGAGCGUAGGCGGUCGGUUAAGCUCGAGGUGAAAUGCCGAGGCUCAACCUCGGAACUGCGUCUGAUACUGGUUGGCUAGAGUGUACGUGAGGUAGGCGGAAUGUGUGGUGUAGCGGUGAAAUGCUUAGAGAUCACACAGAACACCGAUUGCGAAGGCAGCUUACGAAGCUACUACUGACGUUGAGGCACGAAAGCGUGGGGAGCAAACAGGAUUAGAUACCCCAGUAGUC